GACGAACGCUGGCGGCGUGCUUAACACAUGCAAGUCGAGCGGCAAGGCCCUUUCGGGGGUACACGAGCGGCGAACGGGUGAGUAACACGUGGGUGACCUGCCUUCAGCUCUGGGAUAAGCCUGGGAAACCGGGUCUAAUACUGGAUAUGACUCCAUGACGCAUGUUGUGGGGUGGAAAGCCUUGUGCGGCUGAGGAUGGGCCCGCGGCCUAUCAGCUUGUUGGUGGGGUGAUGGCCUACCAAGGCGACGACGGGUAGCCGGCCUGAGAGGGCGACCGGCCACACUGGGACUGAGACACGGCCCAGACUCCUACGGGAGGCAGCAGUGGGGAAUCUUGCGCAAUGGGCGAAAGCCUGACGCAGCGACGCCGCGUGAGGGAUGACGGCCU
rnacentral:rRNA from 1 species